GAUGAACGCUAGCGGGAGGCUUAACACAUGCAAGUCGAGGGGCAUCACGAGGUAGCAAUACUUUGGUGGCGACCGGCGCACGGGUGAGUAACGCGUAUGCAACCUACCCUGUACAGGGGGAUAGCCCGGAGAAAUUCGGAUUAAUACCCCAUAAUGAUAUUUUAUGGCAUCAUAAAAUAUUUAAAGCUCAGGCGGUACGGGAUGGGCAUGCGUAACAUUAGCUAGUUGGUAGGGUAAUGGCCUACCAAGGCGACGAUGUUUAGGGGUCCUGAGAGGGUGAGCCCCCACACUAGUACUGAGACACGGACCAGACGCCUACGGGAGGCAGCAGUGAGGAAUAUUGGUCAAGGGGCGCGAGCCUGAACCAGCCAUCCCGCGUGAAGGAAGACUGCCCUAUGGGUUGUAAACUUCAUUUCCAGGGGAAUAAAAUCUCGAACGAGUUCGGGACUGAAGGUACCCUGGGAAUAAGCAUCGGCUAACUCCGUGCCAGCAGCCGCCGUAACAC
rnacentral:rRNA from 1 species